GGCUCUCUGCUUACAUAAAUAUAGAGAGUCGAGCCUGCCCAGUGAAUUUUUAAACGGCCGCGGUACUCUGACCGUGCAAAGGUAGCAUAAUCAUUUGCCUUAUAAUUGAAGGCUAGUAUGAAUGGUUUGACGAGAACAAUACUGUCUCCUUUUUAUUUUCAAGAACUUAACUUUUAGGUGAAGAGGCCUAAAUUUUAUUGAAGGACAAGAAGACCCUAUCGAGCUUAAAAGACAUUAUAGAAGUUUAUAUAUUUUUAAAUAAAUUUUCUAUUUAGCUUUUUAGUUGGGGCGACUAAGGAACAAAAAAAGCUUCUUGCUGAUAAUAAGCAGUCAUGUUUAGAUCCGAUAAUAAUCGAUCAAAGAAAUUAGUUACCGUAGGGAUAACAGCAUAAUCUCUCUUGAGAGACCUAAUCGAAAGAGGGGGUUGUGACCUCGAUGUUGGACUAGAAUAUCCUAAAGAUGCAGAAGUCUUUGAGGGUCAGUCUGUUCGACCGUUAAAAUUCU
rnacentral:rRNA from 1 species